UGCGUGAAGAUGUCCACCUAGUACUGAAGGGAAAUUCAAAUUGAGCGGAAGUACUUAGGCGGGCGGAGCCAGGCUAGUGCUGUGUUCCAAUAUCCAUACUAUCCGUACUUACUAGCCUUAGUUUGAGUACGUAGGGCGUUCCAAUUCAGAUCGGGCGAAAAUAAGUGUACUGAAAGGACCCGGAUGGUGUACUCAAAACAGUCAAAUCGCGAAGUGUGGAUCGAUGUACACUUUUCGGACUCAACGGCAGCCAUCUUAGCUACGUAGCGGAAGAGGGCAGAGCCAGGCUGAGCCAAUGUUGGCGCAUUUUCCACAUAGCCUGCAUUAAUAGUCAUUUUCUUUUUAUAGCUGCUAGGCGUAAAGAGUUCACCGUUCAAAGCGGGAUGUUUAUUGCGGGGGAGGAGCCACGGCGGCAGUCGUGAUCGUAAUUUCCGGUUAGUGCACCACGGAGUACUCGAUUUGGAACAGCA